AUUUACAGAUAAUCGCGUAGGAACAAAGGGACGAAUCUUUUGCUUAUUUUACCUAGUGUUUUUGUUUUUGGGAUCUGUAUUUAGUGGAUAGGGCGAAAGAGUGACGGAGACGUAAAUAAAAAAUGAAACCACCUCAUGAGUUGAAUAGUGAGACGGCUCGUGACGCUGCCUAGAAGAUGCUUAGGCGAGAUGGUUGACAAGUAAGAAUGGGGGACAUAUGAGUCAGUGUUCGUUUUGGAACUUUCUUUGAUUUUGUUUUAUUUACAUGUUCAUUAAUUGACAAUUUCGUCUAUAUAGAUGGCUUAGUGUCUAUACCUCAUGAUAUAAGAAAAAAUUGAUCAUUUAAUAAAUUUUCUAGAUACA